GAUGAACGCUGGCGGCGUGCCUAAUACAUGCAAGUAGAACGCUGAAGGAAGGAGCUUGCUCUUUCCGGAUGAGUUGCGAACGGGUGAGUAACGCGUAGGUAACCUGCCUGGUAGCGGGGGAUAACUAUUGGAAACGAUAGCUAAUACCGCAUAACAGUAGAUGUUGCAUGAUAUCUACUUAAAAAGUGCAAUUGCACCACUACCAGAUGGACCUGCGUUGUAUUAGCUAGUUGGUGAGGUAACGGCUCACCAAGGCGACGAUACAUAGCCGACCUGAGAGGGUGAUCGGCCACACUGGGACUGAGACACGGCCCAGACUCCUACGGGAGGCAGCAGUAGGGAAUCUUCGGCAAUGGACGGAAGUCUGACCGAGCAACGCCGCGUGAGUGAAGAAGGUUUUCGGAUCGUAAAGCUCUGUUGUAAGAGAAGAACGAGUGUGAGAGUGGAAAGUUCACACUGUGACGGUAUCUUACCAGAAAGGGACGGCUAACUACGUG
rnacentral:rRNA from 1 species